AGAUCGGUGGCUAUCUACCCUCAGAUGACAUGGAUGCUGCACUAGUAUGGGUAUUAAAUAGAGCCAAAGAAUAUUUUGAAAAUGAUAUGAUAUUCAUUCCAAUAAACAUGGACGACGUUCACUGCUACCUAUGUGUUAUAAAUGCCAGAAAACUAUGUGUUCAAGUGCUCGACUCGCUAGGCCCAUCAAUGAAUCGCAAGGACCUCACUGAUACGGUUAGUAGUUAGUCCUACUGCCCCAUCUUUGCAUAAGAAGCAUUUUUUUCUUAUUUCUCGCAUGUCAUGCUUAUACUUUUUUCAUUUGUUGGUACAACAGCUAGAAGGACCGGAGGAUUUAUUCAAAUAUGCAUCCGAGCACAUGGAAUUAAAAUCCAAUAAGUGGACUGAUCUAAGUGUUACAACAUGGAAAAGAGAAGAAUAUAUUAAGAGCAGUCUUCAGACGGAUGGCCCCUGUCUGGUUAUUGGAUUUUCAAUUUAAUGCACUC